AACGUCAUUAUCAUCACCGAAAGAAUCAUCUCCUUCAUCUUCUUCCUCGAAUUUGUUAUCUUCUUCACUAUCCAAAGCAGCGUUUUUGCCAAAGAACUCAUUACAACAUUUGACUAUCUUCUGCUGCAUUUGCAUUGUGGCAAUUUUGGCUUCAUGAAUACCUAGAGUGAAUUGGGCGGACGGACUCGGUUUGACCUUAAAAGAAGGCCAUCCAGAGCUAGAGUUAGGAGAAGAAGACGGUCGUGGAGGGUUGAUAGGCCAUUCAGGACCAGGGUCGGGUUGGCGGCUGG
rnacentral:misc_RNA from 1 species